rnacentral:rRNA from 1 species
AGAGUUUGAUCAUGGCUCAGAGCGAACGCUGGCGGCGUACUUAACACAUGCAAGUCGAACGGGGAUCGUCGGGUUAGCAAUAAUUCGGCGGUUCUAGUGGCGUACGGGUGAGUAACACGUGGGCAACUUGCCCUUGAGACCGGGAUACCCUCUCGAAAGGGAGGCUAAUACCGGAUACGUUCUUCGGGUCGCAAGAUCUGGAGAGGAAAGGUGGCGCAAGCUACCGCUCUUGGAGAGGCUCGCGGCCUAUCAGCUAGUUGGCGGGGUAACGGCCCACCAAGGCUAUGACGGGUAGCUGGUCUGAGAGGACGACCAGCCACACGGGGACUGAGACACGGCCCCGACUCCUACGGGAGGCAGCAGUGGGGAAUUUUCCGCAAUGGGCGAAAGCCUGACGGAGUGACGCCGCGUGUGGGACGAAGGCCUUCGGGUCGUAAACCACUGUCAGUGGGAAAGAUGGGUGUCGGUGUUAAUACCAUCGGCAUCUGACGGUACCUGCAGAGGAAGCCCCGGCCAACUCUGUGCCAGCAGCCGCGGUAA